rnacentral:rRNA from 1 species
AUAGGAGGUCCAGCCUGCCCAGUGACUACGGGUUCAACGGCCGCGGUAUUUUGACCGUGCAAAGGUAGCGCAAUCACUUGUCUUUUAAAUAGAGACCUGUAUGAAUGGCUAAACGAGGGCUUAACUGUCUCCCCCUUCAAGUCAGUGAAAUUGAUCUAUCCGUGCAGAAGCGGGUAUAAAAAUACAAGACGAGAAGACCCUUUGGAGCUUAAGGUACAAAAUUCAACCACGUCAAGAAAUUCAAUAAAAAACAAAAACUUAGUGGAUUAUGAACUUUUACCUUCGGUUGGGGCGACCACGGAGGAAAAACAAGCCUCCGAGUGGAAUGGGUUAAAUACCUAAAACUAAGAGAAACAUCUCUAAGCCACAGAAAAUCUGACCAAAAAUGAUCCGGCUUAAUGCCGAUCAACGAACCAAGUUACCCUAGGGAUAACAGCGCAAUCCUCUCCCAGAGUCCAUAUCGACGAGGGGGUUUACGACCUCGAUGUUGGAUCAGGACAUCCUAAUGGUGCAGCCGCUAUUAAGGGUUCGUUUGUUCAACGAUUAAAGUCC